AGGAAAGUACAAAGCCUUGGCCGACUGCGAGAAGGGAGAUUCGGAAGACUUGCUGGUGAAGCACGGAGACAUCAUCGAACUACUGCAUGAAAACGGAGAGGGACAAUGGCUAGUCAAAAACCUCAACCAGAGGAAAGAAGGCUGGUUAACCCUCAAUAGUUUGCAGCUAAUCCUGGGAGACGGCAGGUUUCGAAGUGGCAGAGUUGCAGAUGCUGCCCUGUAUAAGACAAGAAAAUUAAGCUCCCCCUGAAUUUGAAGGGAGAACUUGAGGUCAUGUCACUUUUGAACACUCCAGUGGAGGUUUGAAAUGGCUGCUGAAGAAAAAAAAAAGAGAGCAAUUAUGUCAUUGCUGGGAAGACUGUGUACUACCCAUCAUCCAUCAGCAUCCACCGCCCAUCACAGCUCCACCAACACCCACCGUGACCAUCAACGGAAGCCAUUCUUUCUUGGAGAAACAUGGCACCAUUUGUUUAUCCCAUGUGGGGUGGAAUUGAACCCCUUCUCACCAUCGUAGCAUCUAGCAAACGUCAUCCAAGAACUCCAUCUGGUGGUCUCCACAACUUUCCUUAAGAUGACCGGAGCUUUUUCUUACAGGUCCCUUCUUUUCCCCAACUACCCAUCCAGGUUAUUUUUUUCUGGAACAGGUGUGAACCUGGCCCAGCAGACCUCAGACUCAGGAAGACCAUAUUAGGGGAUGAGUGACAUAUAGCAUGGCAAUAAUCUUGAAGGGAAGCGGGGUCCCCUUUUGCUCUUGGACCCAGGGUUCUUGCAAGGAUUUGGGUAGCUUUAUUGUGUAACAACUCACCUGGGCUUCUUUGCCUCCCUAGAAGUGAGGUGUCCACGUUUACAUUGUAAUUUUAAUUGGAGGACAGUUAUGUGCCAUAACUGAGUUCAGUGUUCACAUUUGCACUAUAAGCUUGUUUGCAACAAGACUGCACUCAGCAUCUUCAGAGAGAACAACGUGAUGCUGGAAUGAGGGUAAUGCAUUCUCUUUUACCCUUUCCUUUCUUCCCCUUUUUUUCUGAAGCUUACAGAACUUUUUUUCUAUUCUCCGUUUCUCCUCAAUUUUUUUGUGCCAAUGCGUAAAUAAACAGGUGAUAAGAUAUACACAUCUAAUCUCAGUAAAGAUAGUGUUGAGGGUUGUGACUGUCCUGAUUGUGAUAGUAAAAACAAAGGGGCAAAUUGAAUGCCAAAAGAGAAUCAAUACAGGAGGACCUCCGUGUCUGUGGGGGAUCGGUUCCAGGCCCCCUCGGAGAUACUGAAAAAUGGAUUAUAGUCAACACUAUAUAUAUCAUGGUCUCUGGCUCCUUCUAGUGGCCAGUUCUGGUGACUUAAUCUUUAGA